UACGAAGGGGGCGAGCGUUGUUCGGAUUUACUGGGCGUAAAGGGCGCGCAGGCGGCGGACCAAGUCAGGCGUGAAAGCCCCGGGCUUAACCUGGGAGGUGCGUCUGGGACUGGUAUGCUAGAGUUCGGGAGAGGAGAGUGGAAUUCCUGGUGUAGCGGUGAAAUGCGCAGAUAUCAGGAAGAACACCAAUGGCGAAGGCAGCUCUCUGGGACGGUACUGACGCUGAGACGCGAAAGCGUGGGGAGCGAACAGG
rnacentral:rRNA from 1 species